AAGGAAAUCAUGGCCUCCCACUCCCGAUGGAGGCCCCAAAUGUCGGACCCCUAUUUUUUGUAUUUGUCUGGGUGUCUGGGGCGCAUAGCGACACGGGACCGCCGGCUGGCUGGCCGGCUGCCCGUCCGGUCACGUGCUUGCGUCCCGACACCCACCAUAAAACCUAUGUUCUCUAAAUACACGCUCUCACUCCUCCUCUACCGACUGUGACGCCAACACCAUCCGCGGACCCCGGCUCCGACGAGGGCGGCCGAAAUGGCCGGCCCACAAUUGGUGCCAGCGGUGGUGGUUGGUUGUCGGUGGAGGACUUUUGGCUUCAGUCCUUGAGUUUCUGUUACCCAUCUGGGAGUGGCCACUAUCUGACUCCCCGAGCAUCGACUACGGAGAAACGCCGAUACGCAUCACGGUCUGCAAAAGCUGGCUGAUGAUAGACAUGAUGGGGUCGGAAGCUCAUCGCCGAUCCGUCUGGCUGUCUCAGUCGCUCUGCAUCUGGUCCACGAAUCACACACUGCAACUGCGGACGCCAUCACCGACUGCAACGGCUGCAACUGCAACCAGCAGGUGGCCUAGGUCCAAAGCCAACGCCUGGCUGACCCACAUGGCCGCCUGCCGUCGCUGCUACCUCAUCUGCUCAUCGUGCUUCGCUGUUCUCCGUCCGUUCGUCCGUCACUCUCGUCGCCCGUGCCAGCCGCCAUCAACAUGGCUGAGCGCACUAUCGCCGCCAUCAAGGCGCUGUCGAUCAAAGGGGUCACCAACACCCUCGCCAGUUCCACCAGCUUCCGGUACGCUGACGUCUCCGGUAUCGGUGCUGUGCGGCGGCAGCCAACGCUCCGUUGACAGGUGUGGCCACACUGUCACGGCGCACCCUGGCCGCUGCCCCUCACGAUCAACUCGGACAUCAUCUACCCGCAGAGGUGCCUGGCGCAUAACAUCGACAACGACAAAACAUGGCGACAACGAUAACGACGACGACUAGCGAUGACGACAAAACCGAAUCGGAGAGCAGCGACAACAGCAGCAGCAGUAGUAGCAACAACAGGCGUACCAGUACCAGUAGCAGCAGCAGCCGUACCUGCAGCAGCAGCAGCAGUCGUACCUGGCUUUCCAUGCGCGGUGUCAUACGUGGAUCUAUGCAGUUAGGGUCGUGAUUGCUUAUUGGUCGCCUCCUCUUGUCAGCUUGUUGGGGGAGGAAAGAUAUGUGGAGAAGGAAAUCAUGGCCUCCCACUCCCGAUGGAGGCCCCAAAUGUCGGACCCCUAUUUUUUGUAUUUGUCUGGGUGUCUGGGGCGCAUAGCGACACGGGACCGCCGGCUGGCUGGCCGGCUGCCCGUCCGGUCACGUGCUUGCGUCCCGACACCCACCAUAAAACCUAUGUUCUCUAAAUACACGCUCUCACUCCUCCUC